rnacentral:rRNA from 1 species
UACGUAGGGUGCAAGCGUUGUCCGGAAUUAUUGGGCGUAAAGAGCUCGUAGGCGGUUCGUCGCGUCGGCUGUGAAAUCCCGAGGCUCAACCUCGGGUCUGCAGUCGAUACGGGCGGACUGGAGUUCGGCAGGGGAGACUGGAAUUCCUGGUGUAGCGGUGAAAUGCGCAGAUAUCAGGAGGAACACCGGUGGCGAAGGCGAGUCUCUGGGCAGUAACUGACGCUGAGGAGCGAAAGCGUGGGGAGCGAACAGG